rnacentral:rRNA from 1 species
UAUUUUCAUCCUGGCUCAGGACGAACGCCGGCGUCGUUCUUAMCACCUACAAGUCGAACGGUAAGCCCCCUUCGGGGGUGCUUGAGUGGGGAAGGGGUGAGUAACACGUGGGUACUUUCCCCUGCAUUUGGGAAUAACCCGGGAAAACGGGUUUUAAUCCGGAAUAUCCAUUCCUCCCCCAGGGUGGGGGUGGAAAAAUUUUUCGGUGCGGGAUGAUCUCGCGGCCUAUCAGCUUGUUGGUGGGGUAAUGGCUCACCAAGGCGACGACGGGUAGCCGGCCUGAGAGGGUGACCGGCCACACUGGGACUGAGACACGGCCCAGACUCCUACGGGAGGCAGCAGUGGGGAAUAUUGCACAAUGGGCGAAAGCCUGAUGCAGCGACGCCGCGUGAGGGAUGACGGCCUUCGGGUUGUAAACCUCUUUCAGUAGGGAAGAAGCGAAAGUGACGUACCGCAGA